rnacentral:lncRNA from 1 species
CUGCUUAAAAUUUGGGCAUCUCUCCAUCCUCUGAGAGCCUUGGGAGUAUUCAGUUUACAGUUCCAUGGCUUAAAGACCCUCCAGACACCAUGACUUUCCUUUUAUCACUGAGGUCUUAACUUCAAUGCUACCUCAUCAGGCCCAUGCUCAUGAUCAUAUUUCGGUAAUUGGAACACAGCCAUUCCAAGGCUUUUAGCAGUUUCUUGUACAUUAAUCAUCUUGUUCCUGUCUAGACACUAGCUAUGAAUGUGAAGAAGCCAUUCUGGACAUUCCAGACCCAGCAGAUGCCACAUGGAACAGUACUGAGGUCCAAAACACAUGGUUUUCCACCAUAUCCUGACAAUUGAACUACCCUGGCUGAAGCCCAGACAUCAUGGCACAAAGACAAGCUGUCAUCACUGAACCCUGACAAAGUUCUUGACCCACAGAAUUGUAAGCCUAAUAAAAGUGGAUUUUUAAAAAAAU